rnacentral:rRNA from 1 species
CCUACGGGAGGCAGCAGUGGGGAAUAUUGCACAAUGGGGAAAACCCUGAUGCAGCGACGCCGCGUGAGUGAAGAAGUAUUUAGGUACGUAAAGCCUUAUCAGCAGGGAAGAAAAUGACGGUACCUGACUAAGAAGCCACGGCUAACUACGUGCCAGCAGCCGCGGUAAUAAGUCGGGGGCAAGCGUUAUCCGGAUUUACUGGGGGUAAAGGGAGCGUCGACGGCAGCGCAAGUCUGGAGUGAAAUGUCAUGGCUUAACCAUGGAAGUGCUUUGGAAACUGGGCAGCUGGAGUGCAGGAGAGGUAAGCGGAAUUCGUAGUGUAGCGGUGAAAUGCGUAGAUAUUAGGAGGAACACCAGUGGCGAAGGCGGCUUACUGGACUGUAACUGACGUUGAGGCUCGAAAGCGUGGGGAGCAAACAGGAUUAGAUACCCUAGUAGUC